GAGGGCAGAGCUCAGUGUUCAAGCACAUGCUUAGCAUGCAUGAGGUCCUGGGAUCAAUCCCCAGUACCUCCA
rnacentral:tRNA from 1 species